rnacentral:rRNA from 1 species
UUGGAUGGCAUCUAUUUGAUAAUUAAACUGAGGUGGUAUAGGAUGGGCAUGCGUCUGAUUUAGUUAGUUGGCGGGGUAAUGGCCCACCAAGACGAUGAUCAGUAGGGGUUCUGAGAGGAAGAUCCCCCACACUGGCACUGAGAUACGGGCCAGACUCCUACGGGAGGCAGCAGUAGGGAAUAUUGGUCAAUGGAUGCAAGUCUGAACCAGCCAUGCCGCGUGCAGGAAGAAGGCCUUCUGGGUUGUAAACUGCUUUUGCCAGGGGAUAAAAUUUCCAUGCGUGGAAAACUGAAGGUACCUGGUGAAUAAGCCACGGCUAACUACGUG